AAAAGCACUGCUCUUAUUGAAAAGAAUGAAAGCAUAUGUGAUAUGACUCAAUUUGAAACGCCUGAGCUGGAUGUACUUCUGGGAAGUACCUGCUUUCCUGAGGAGGUGGUGAUGCAAAUACUGGAUGAAACAUCGGAGAAUGACAAUAAUCUGGAAAUGCUCGAGUCUGGGCUCUCAAUGCAAUUUCCUUAUGAGGUUCUGCAUUCAAUAUCCGUAGUU